GGUAGCAUAAUCAUUUGUCUUUUAAUUGAAGGCUAGUAUGAAUGGUUGGACGAAAAAUAUACUUUCUUUAUUUUAUAUAAAUAAAUUAAUUUUUUAGUUAAAAAGCUAAGAUUUUUUUAUAGGACGAGAAGCCCCUAUAGAACUUUAUUUUCUACAUAUAUAUAUUUUAUAGAUUUUUAAAAUAUUAUAUAUUAAUAGUUAAUUUAAUUGGGGUGAUUGAAAAAAUUAUAUAACUUUUUCUAUUUNUAUCAUUUAUUUAUGAUGUUUUUGAUCCUUUAAUAUGGAAAAUAAGAUUAAGUUACCUUA
rnacentral:rRNA from 1 species